ACUGAUUCAGAUCAUGAAAGCUUCUCCAAAUUUAAGGAAACGUUUCCUCAUUUAAAAAUGUUAUUAUCAAAGAAAAAAGGAAAUCACUAUAAAAGAAAAAGGAACGUUAGGGUUGUUCUUUUGUGUUGCGAUGCAAAAAAAUGGAAAUUUAUCAAAACACUUUUUUUUUUUUUCCAUAUAGGUUGGAGCAGAAAAAAAGGAAAGGUUAGAUUGUGUUACGAUUAUUUGAUUUUAAAAUAAUAUCUGCAGAAAUGUCUUUCAUCAAAAUCAAAUAGUUAUCUGUGGAGUAUUGACUAUUGACUAGAAAUUUAUUCCC
rnacentral:lncRNA from 1 species